UACGUAGGGCGCAAGCGUUGUCCGGAAUUAUUGGGCGUAAAGAGCUCGUAGGCGGCUUGUCACGUCGAUUGUGAAAGCCCGAGGCUUAACCUCGGGUCUGCAGUCGAUACGGGCUAGCUAGAGUGUGGUAGGGGAGAUCGGAAUUCCUGGUGUAGCGGUGAAAUGCGCAGAUAUCAGGAGGAAUACCGAUGGCGAAGACAGGUCUCUGGGCCGACACUGACGCUCAUGCACGAAAGCGUGGGGAGCAAACAGG
rnacentral:rRNA from 1 species